rnacentral:rRNA from 1 species
GUGGGGAAUCUUCCACAAUGGACGAAAGUCUGAUGGAGCAACGCCGCGUGAGUGAAGAAGGGUUUCGGCUCGUAAAGCUCUGUUGUCGGGGACGAAUGUGCAGUAUUUGAAUAAAGUAUUGCAAUGACGGUACCUGACGAGGAAGCCACGGCUAACUACGUGCCAGCAGCCGCGGUAAUACGUAGGUGGCAAGCGUUGUCCGGAAUUAUUGGGCGUAAAGGGAGCGCAGGCGGGAAGGUAAGUCGGUCUUAAAAGUGCGGGGCUCAACCCCGUGAUGGGAUCGAAACUAUCUUUCUUGAGUGCAGGAGAGGAAAGUGGAAUUCCUAGUGUAGCGGUGAAAUGCGUAGAUAUUAGGAGGAACACCAGUGGCGAAGGCGACUUUCUGGACUGUAACUGACGCUGAGGCUCGAAAGCCAGGGGAGCGAACGGGAUUAGAUACCCGUGUAGUCC